GAUAACAGAGUGAGACUCUGUCUCAAAAAAAAAAAAGAAAAAAAUCCCAUUUCAGAAAUCUGAAAAAAUAUGCAUCUUUUAAUUAUUGAACUAUAGCACAUCCUUUAACUAUCUUCAAUUUUGUUUUAACUAAAAAGUGUUAUUCAUCUAUAAUUUAUAUUUCACUUCAAUGUUAAGACUACCUAGGCAGAGCCUCAAUUCAACUUUCUGGGCCAUGGUUUUGUUGUGGUUGCUAUUGUUUUGUUUAGUUUUUUUUUUUUUUCUUUUCAUCUACUUUUUAAAUUGAGAUAUACUUAGCAUAAAAUUCAUCCUUUUAAAAUGUAAAAUUCAGUAGUUUUUAGUGUAUUCACAAAGUUGUUCAAUCACUAUUAUCCACAAUACUUUCAUUGUAUGCAAUUCUCUACCUGAUUAGCAGGUAUUCCCCAUUAACACCUUCCAAGGUCUUUGAUAAAUUUUUAUAUGUGGAGUAAGGGGUCCAUCUUCAUUCUUACAUGUGAGUAUCCAGUUGUCCCAGGGCCCAUGCUGUUUUCUUUGUUUUAUUCCAUUUAUUUGGCCAUUCACCAAUACGUUUUGAAUACCUGCUAUGUCCAAGACAGUAAUAUAAUCCAAAGUUCUAUCAUUUUGUGAUCCUUAAAUAGUUUACAAAGAAAAAAAUGUGAGAAUUAAUGGGAACAAAUAUUUACCAAGAUUUCUCUAACAUUGUUUUUGGGCCAUCAUCUACCCUGUUUAGAGAAAUAUCAUUAAAUCCUCCUGUCCUAGCAAUUACAAUUAUUUUCCUUCAAUCUUUGAUGACUUUGACCUCAUAGUCAGAAUGCAGCAUUGAUGAUCAUUCUGAGUCUUAACUUUGCCUUACUGAGAAAGCAGAGAAGAGAGGGAUGGAGGGGCAGUGAUUUGAGUUGAAUAAGAUGGUAGCUAGUAGGAGAGGAUGAAGACCUUGUCAGGAGAACUGUGUAAGAAGAUAAUAGUCGCAACCCUCUGUCAUAAUUUUGCAUUUGAUCUUUCUUAAAACUUGACACAUUUAGGCUUAUUCCAGGAAAUUGAAGUUUUUUAAACAUGCAAAUUAUAAUAUUUAAUAUUGUCAACAGUAAAGUAAGAAAGCACACUAUCACUGCCGCCAUGUUUAUACAUAGAGCAUGUUAUUUCAUGGUGGAUGAUACCAACAAAGUUGACCUCAACAACAAUUUGUUAGAUUACACGUAUAUAACCCAGGAUUUAUUUGAGGUCCUUUUGCUAUAUUAUUGACUCCUACACGAUCAUUAUCGUCACUGUUUCUGGCUCUACCUGGAGUGCCAUAACUACCACCACCAGCCCACACAGAUACACAUACACACACACUCACACACGUAUACAAACUUACAUACACAAACAUACUUAUUAAUCCUUGAUAAUCUAGCAACAACACGUUGGCACUGUUGAUAAUCUAGCAACUCAUUCCAUCAGUUGUAACUAGUAAUGCCACUGUUAUGCCUGCUGAGCCAAUAUACAGUUAUUAUUUACCAAAUAAUGCUUUUUUCAACAUUGAUUAAAUCAGAGUGGAAGCAAAAUGGUAAUAUUUAUGAUAAAUUUUAGUUUGGACGUUCAAUGUCAGGAUCAAAUAUUCUUCAUAGCUACAAACUUAAAUUUUAUGUGGAAAAGCAAUGAUGAAGAGUUUCAAACCUCAACUGACACUUAACAGGAUAUGUAAUUGCUCACACACAACCUUUAGGUUUUGUAAUCCAGUUUUAUCUCAUACAAUAUUAGAAACAGUACACUUUGUAAAUAGCUAUUUUAAAAGUUAGCCAUAUUUUUAAAGUCACAUGUAUUUAUAACUUUUCUGAGUAAUUUUCUUGUUAAUGCCUUAUUAUAGGUGCUUGUAACAUGAAAACUAAACUUGGAUCUUGGUAUAUUCAGUAUUCUAUAGAUAGAUUGUGAUAUGCAUAGCUUCUACUGUGACUCUCAGACCUAAUGUCUCCUCUUAGGUUUCCUUUAAUAUCCUUUCUCAUUCCUUUCAGGGGGCCUAUUUUUAGUUUGCAUUGUUUGCAGCAUUUCAGUAAUACUGUUCUAUUCUAAUAAUAUUGUUCUGCUCUAAUAAACAUUUCUAAAUACUGUGGUUCCAAAGCACUGUAUUGCCAACAUUUCUAGAUAUUAACUAUUAACCCCCUGCACGGUGGGGGUUAAGACACUGCUCUGUCUUAGCAUAAGACCAAUCUUGGAGCUAUAACAAAUGCAUGUAAAGCAUUAGAUCAGAUUCUAAAUACUGCUUCCUGACAUGCUAAAAGAUUCAAUCUUUACUCUCAUUCCAUGUGUAUAUGACUUAAAAAACAGUACAUGCCCUCCCAUUUUUUAAAAGACUGUUAACAGCUUGAACACUAGCAUUAAAAUCUAAGAUAAUCCUUGCAAAAGAGACUUAAUUUUCUAAAACCUGGAAACCUAUUCUUAUUCUGUUAUUAAUUUUUUCUCAAUUAUAUGAGCACAUUUUCAGUCCUAUAGGGUAGAAUGAUUUAGUAUUCCAAGUCCUGUAUUACACUGGAACUGGCUCCUAUAGCUUGAAAGUGCUGAAUGUUCUCAUCUCUUCUCAACUCUGUGGUCAGUAAUCUCAGGUUAGUGGCUUGUCAUCAGCCACAUCAGGAGUAUUUACACCAUAGAAAUAGGCAAAUAUCCUAAAUCAGGCUCUUUUAAAAAUUUUUAUUUUUGAGAGCCAGUCAGUAACAUUUACUAGUGCAUCAUUGAUUUAACCAUUCUAGGGUCAUUAUAUUUUCUGUACUAUAAAUUAUGAAAGUAAAAGGAAUGUUAAAGAUUAUUCAAUCCAAACGCCAUUGUUCAAAACAGUAAGUAAAGUAAAAAAAAAAUUUGCAAACAUCACAUAGCUAGUAAAAGGCGGAUUCGGAAUUACAAUACUGCCUUUCUGAUUCCUUGUCUAUUUUUCUGCUCAUCAUAUACAGAUAAAAAAAGUAAAGGGCACCAAUUUCAAAUUCAUUACAUAUUUAUUGCAGGCCAAGUUUGGAUCAGUCACUGUAUUAUAUGAUGUGGUGAGGUACAAAAAUGAAGCACUGAAAAUGUCAAUUAAACUGACUGCUGACUCUAUCACAUGGAAAUGCCACUUAAUAUCAGCCCUUAGAGGAUGGCACUCUCACCUCCUUACCUUCUUCACAUAUUCAAAAUUAAAUAUUUUUAAAAAGAAUGCAUUUGAGCAUUCUGCUCUGAGGGAAGAAUCACUAUUUUCAGGAACUCUUGCUAUGUAUUAAGUUACCUCUUCACCUUCAAGACAACCUUCCUCAGAAAAACAUCCCUGGUAGAGAAACAUCCCUGUACUGCCUCUGUCUACAGUACAAUCCUUGAUAUACAGGAUCAAAGUUGGCUUUUAACCUUUGUUUUCUAUGUCUUAGCCAGGGACCAGGCUU